UGAAUUAGAUCAAGCGUAGCUCUGAAAAAGUAACGGAUAAAAUAAACUAAGAAACAAAAAUCUUUUUGAAAUUUUCAUUUAUAAUUUUUUUCAAAUACAAAACAGGAAGUACUAUAACAAAAGACUCGAAAAUCUUAAUUAGACUGACAGACUCGAUACUACUGUACAAGACUAAUAAUUAAAAGACAACAUAAAAUAGACUAAAAAAUAAAAAGUUUCCUCAAACAGCUCGUGCAUGCAAUAGUCUUGACUAGAAUGGUCCUGGGGUAUUUGUCAUGCUCGAGUCCUGGUACAUGGAUCCAGACCUGAAUGAGAAAAAUAAGACCAAAUAGAUCAGUGACUCAAGACACUAUGCUACACCACAACACCUCCUAUUGGAAGCACGCAAGACAUGAUUGGGCUGCUUUUGCAAAAUUAACCUAUGUGGCCAAGGAUGGCUAUUAGUGCAAACUCAACAACGGUGACCUCAAAGACAUGGAAAUACCUCACUAAGGCUUAAAUGGAUUCAACUCCCAAUAAUCAUGGCCCAAAAUUAAUUUGCAGAAAUAACCCAUUUUGCAGAAACGGCCAAUAUGGCUAGAUGUGACUAAAGAUGCAAACUCAAUAAGGACGUGCCUUAAAGUAAUAUGACUCAUAGUUGUGGACUCAAGAUUCUAAGACAUGGGUAAUUGAACCACUUUACGAAAAUGAUCCCAUUUUGCAAGAAUGGCUCGUGUAGCCAAAAGUGGCUAGACAUGCAAGAUUUGGCUAAGAUCCCGCAAAGCCAAGAACCUAAGACACUAGGAAGACCGGACCCUAUGUGGGUUGCCUAUGUAUCACGUCCCGAAAGACGAGAAUCAAGUUCGCGUAGUUCGGGAAGAUUCGAUAUGGGAGAAAGCUUAAAAAAUGACACUAGUUGAAAAAAUAUAUUUUUUGUCUUCUUGAAAAAUGAUGGAAAAUGUAAAAUCUUUUUAGAUUUUUUUUUAAAAUUUUUGGAAAAUAAUGGGAAGGUGUAAAAUCUUUUGGAUUUUUUUUUUGAUUUUUUGAAAAAUAAUGGGAAAGUGUAAAAUCUUUAUGGAUUUUUCAUUUUCAUUUUCUUUUCUGUCUUUUGUUUUUGAAAAAGUAGUGAAAGAAAAAUAUAACUGGACGCUACUUGCUUCAUCUUUCACUCUUCUUUCCCAAACAUCGGUUAGCCAAAUGACCUUUUUACCCUCAAAGGUGCAACAUGUAUCACAUAAGAAUGAUUGAAUGUCUUUUUGGGCCACGGGCCUAUUUUUGAUAAAAUUUGGAUAGGCUUCCUACAAAGGGACACGGUACCUGGGACCGAGCCCUGCUAGAUCUAAAUAACAUGAUGCAAAUAAAAAUGACCUAAAGGCUGACCUUAGUUUGUGGUUUAUUAACAAGGCAAUUCGGGGGAGUGUAUGGUCGAUGGUGGCUGCUCAAGCUUUCCACCCACUCCAUACGUCCGAUGGCCCCCCCUCCUAAAUUAAGGGUGACUCAACAAAGAGUUCAUGCACGCGACGCGUACUCCGAGACUUGUUGCAGAAAGAAGACCCAUGAUUAUGCAAAUGAUGACAGUUUAUAAAGCAGUAACACAAUAAGAAAAGCGAUAAACAAAUAGCCAACAAAACAAGGAAAUACGACAAACAAAGAAAAUAAAGAAAACAAAUACCUCAACCAAAUAUCCUAAAAGCCAACAAGAUCAAAUACCAGCACGAACCUGCAACUCCCCAGCAGAGUCGCCAAAGAUGUCACACCCCUUUUUUAACAACUACCUUCACUAAACCCUCUUAAAUUAAUAAAAAGAUUUAUAAAGCUCAAAAGGGUUUUAAUUAAAAAGUGACAAAAUUGUGUUAAAAAGGAAAUAAUUCAGAGUCGCCACCUGACAUUGUUUCGGUGUGCCAGGUCACCGUUUUUCAAAAAUGAUUUUUCUUUUAAAACACUUCGAACUCCAAACUAAGUCUGCACCAGAGAUUUGGGUAAGGGGGUUCAUUUGACUUAGGGAGAAGGUAUUAGACAUUCCCCAAGUCCCGUAACUAGUACGAUUGCGUACAUGAUCAAGUUGGCUUUUAAAAUAUUCAAUUGAGAUAGAAAACACAGAAAAAGAAAAAUAAACACACAAGAGGCCCGAGGUCGUUCCCAACUAAUAAAAGAGAAGCGAAAAUGAAAAUAAAAAUACUCAGAGUUCUACUUUCGGCCUCCAAAUAUAAAUACCACGGGCAUACCCCGGAUGAAAUAUAUACAAAUCAUUCGGGGUAUUCCCCGAAUAAAUUUAACUAAGGGAAUAACGUCUCGCCACGAAACUAACAAAAAUUCUAAGGCUUCCCUACCUAAGUGUGGUCGGCCUAAACAUGCUCCUAACGGGUCAUAACACAAAGCAAGAUGAAGUACCAAACAAAAGUAAUAAAGCAACAGUAAAAGUAAGUAUAAAAUAUAAUACCUUAUACUCAAACCCAAGCCAUGUAUGAACUUUAUCGAUUCAUAUUUAUUUCAUAUUCAAAUUCUUUUAAAUUUACCAAAACCCCAACCCCAACCAGUAUUUCUUUUACUACUCAAACCAUCAAUAAAUCUAUAUAACCUAUUCAUUUGAUUCUCCUAUUAUAGGUUAUUAAUACUAGAACCUGGAAACCUCUACCUCUUAAGGAAAGCAUUGCAGCAGACUUGAAAUCUCAAUUUAGCUAUUUAAAGUUUAAACGUAAACAAUAAUCAAGAACACAAGGAUCAUCCAAUUAAAAAACUAGGGAAAGAGAGGGGUAAGGUUUAGACCUUUAUUGAUGAAUCCAAGGGUGUAAUUCAGAAGGCAAACUGGAAAUCGGAACCAGAGCUUGACCGAAAAACCUUGGCUGAAAUCAAACGGGACCGGAACCAUCGAGCCAAGAAUGGAAACUUCGUUGUAAAGUUUGAACGACGAUGGCAUCGGCGGCGACGCUAGCUAAGUGAGAGAUGAGAGGAUUGAGUGAAAUAGUGAGAAGAGGGGGUCAUCGUUUUCAUAAUCGCUGAAUUUCUGCCGGAGCUCUUAGAGUGAAUGGGAGCGGCUAUUUUUCUAGAAAAAAAAUGAGAGCCUUCCCCCUUUUUCGCUGCUGCUUUCCCCAAAUGCUCUAUCUCAUUUCAGUCUCUUAAUCUGUAUGUAGAGUGUCAAAUAUAUGAAUAUCUUGAUUCAAAUUUUCAGGCAAGCUAUAAUAGAAUGGAUCAAUUAAAUGGUCACGUUUGAUUCUGCAAAGUUGCUGGGCGGUUGCUGCCUCUCAAGUGUGAUAGAAUGAGAGAUUUUUUGGAAUUAAAGAUGAUUGGAAAUAGUGGUGGUAUUUGUGAAAAUCAGAGAGUGUUGAUUUCUUGAAUUUUUUUUCUAAGAAGAACAAUGAAUUAAAGUGACGUUCUACUUUUCGUUUUGCUUGUCCCUUCCUUUUUCGUGAGUGUGUGUGCUUUUUUUUUAUUGCCGCUGUUGGGAGCAGCUGGAGACGGGUGGUCGCUGGCGACUGGGGGUCUCUCCUAGAUUUUUUUUUGUGGUUCUCCCCUUAUAAUAAUGAAAAAUUCCAGACCCUUCCUCAACUGCUUGGAGAAAAGAAAAGAGAUCUCUUAGCCAAUACCGUGUGGUCCCUAUCAGUAAAAAAUGCCAUAUUUCUGUAUGCAAUGUAAAAAUGAAAUGGAAUGUGUAGUGGUGUGACGUGGCAGGGAGUUAAGGCGAGGACAAGAAUUGUGAAUUUCUAUUGUGCAAAUGAAUCCAAAAACGUGAGAGUGGGGAGUGUGAAUCUUUGUGAUUUUCACUUUUUGCUUUCUUUCUUAUUCAAUUAAAGGAAUGGAAAACAUAAAACCAUAAAAUAAGAAAACCAACUAGCUAUAAAUCUAUAUUUUUCUUUUUCUUUGACUUUCUUUCAAGAUAUAUUGCUAGAUGAAGAUACUAAUUAGCUAAAACUAAAGAAAAUAUUUUUGUAAUUUUUAUUUUGUGAUAAAAUAAAGUAAAAGGGUCAAAACUAGUUAAAAUAGCGAUAUUAGACCUAAAUAAAUAUUUAAAUGCUAAAAUAUAUAAAAUCUCGGGGAUGGUCAAAAAUUACAUGUCUACAAAGUAGACAUAACAAAGUUGGGAACACAAAGUAGCUAAUCAAGUAGGUCACAAGACUUAGAAGCAGGUUCAGCAGGACUUAGAAGCAAGUUCAACACCUAGCCAAAUAAUACAUUGGCAGUCACAUAUUGAAAGAGUUAAGGGAGAAACCAGUUUGUAGGAUUAACAAAGAUUAUCAUACACAUGUGCAUAAUACCAAACCAGUUGAAACCUAAAAUGUCCAAAUUAUGCUAAGUAUACAUUCCAGUGUCAUAAGACAAAUAUGUUAACUCUCAUCAGGAAACAAAACAACAUUUAGACAUGAUAGGGGAACACAAAUUGUGAGAAGUCAAGUAAUCACUGAAGGAACAGGGAAUCAAGUGAGCCAAAGGCAUGCUAAGGGACACAUAGGUUAUAAUACAUUACAGAUGUGAGAUAUUUAUUACAGAGAUUCAGGACAAAGCAGUAAAGCAGGUUCAUGUCAAAUAGCAAAUGUAGACAUUCAGACAUCAAUACAAUAGACUAAUUGCAACGACCCGACCGGUCAUUUUGAGAAUUAAUGCCUAGAUCCCCUAUUAACUACUUUUCUCAUGUUUAUUUCUACUAUUAUAAUUUGCCGGGAAGAUUCCUUUUGAGUUUCAUAGUGUUUUGGGACAUUUAGUCCCUAAAUGAGAGCUUAAGUUUUAGAAUUUGGACCGUAGUCGGAGUAGUAUGAAGACGGCUUCGGAAUGGAAUUCCGUCAAUUCCGUUAGUUCCGUUAGGUGAUUUCGGGCUUAGGGGCGUGUUCGCAUUGUAUUUUGGAGGUCCGUAGCUUAUUUAGGCCUGAAAUGCUGAAAGCUGAAUUUUUGAAGUUUUCGAAUCGAUAGUGAGAUUUUGAUAUCGGGGUCGAAAUCCAAUUCCAAAAGUUAGUAUAGCUCCGUAGAGUUGAAUGUGACUUUUGUGCAAAAUUUGUGGUCAAUCGAACAUGGUUUGGUUGGUUUUGGCAUCGGUUGUAGAAUUCUUGAGAUUUCAAGUUCAUUAGGCUUGGAUUGGAGGGUAAUUCAUGGUUUUAGCAUUGUUUGAUGUGAUUUGAGGGUUAGAUUAAGUUCGUAUAAUGUUUUAGGAUUGGCUGGUAUGUUUGGUUGAGGUCCCGGAGGCCUCGGGUGAGUUUCAGAUGCUUAACGGAAGUUGAAUUUGGACUUGGAAAAAUUCUGAAGUUGCUGCUUCUGGUAUUUUUGCAUAUGCGGUGAGGAGCCCAUAGGUGCGGCCCACAGAAGCGAGGAAAUAGGUCGCAGGUGCGUUUUGGAGCACGAAGGCCAGUGGCCGCAGAUACGGCUCAAGGACCGCAGAAGUGGACUGCAUCUGCUGAGAAGGGAGCGCAGGUGCAGUGCCUAGGGAGUUAAUGAAAUUUCGCAAAUACGGAGCCCAAGACGCAGGUGUGGUACUGCAGGUGCGGCCCCAUGAACCGCAGAUGCGGAAAUCAUUGGGCAGAUAUAGAAAAAUCGAGGGUUUGAGUUCAUAACUUGGAAAAAUCAAAUUGGACCGGGGAAGGUGAUUCUGUGGGGAUUUUGACGAGAAGACCAUUGGGUAAAUAUUCCUAAUACCUUUUUAACUGUAUCCUAUUAAUCUAAGCUUAAAUUCAUUAAUUAAUUUCGGAUAUGGGGUGAAAAUUGGGAGAAUUGAGGAAAAGUUCUUAGGAGUUUUUGGAUUUUGAUCGAGAUUUUGGUAUCGAAUUUGAGUGAUUUUGGUAUGGUUAGACUCGUGAGUGAAUGGGUGUUCAUAAUCCAUAAUUUUUACCUGAUUCCAAGAUGUGUGUCCGGGAGAAUUUUUGAGCGUUUUUCUAUUUUCUUACCUUAGCUUUGAUUCAUUUAACUAAAUUCGUUGUUUGUGGUUAUAUUUACAUUAUGAAAUUGAUUUGAUUAGAUUUGGGCUACUCGAAGUUGGAUACUCAGGGCAAGAGCGUGAUUUCGGAUUGAUUUGAGCUGGUUUGAGAUAAGUGGCUUGCCUAACCUUGUGUGGGGGAACUCCCCUUAGGAUUUGGUAUUGUUGUUAUAUGAAUGCCGUGUACGUGAGGUGAUGAGUGCGUACACGUGCUAAUUGUUGGAAAACCCCAUUUUCAUUAAGUAAACAUCUAUGUUUCCUUUUUUUUCCGAACACUACUUGUAUUUUAAAGCCUACUGUUUAGCUUAGGAAAGCAUGCUUAAGUUACUUAGCUGUUUUAUCUUCUUAAACUGUUUACUUGAAUUCUAUGCAGUAUGUUUAGAAUAGGAACCUCUGUUUUAUUGUUACGAACUUGGAUAGAACUGUAGAUUCUUUCUUGAGACUGUUGUGUGUUUACUUUGGGACUACGGGACGACAUCCCGGGAGAUUCCCCUAUAAUGGUUAUUUACUUUGGGACUACAGAUUGGUAUUUUAGGAUAUUCCCUUGCAUAUUUAUGAUUCAGACUAUUGGACAAUAUCCCAGGAGGUCCUCUGCAUAUUUCGUUUGGGUCUACGGGACGACACCUUGGGAGAUCCCAUGUUGCUAUUUCUGUGUACUGAGUUAUAUUCUUUCUGUGAUUUUAUUCAUUAUCGACUGUUAAUAUUUUAAUUAUACCAUCACAUUUCAUACUGUUUUACCUUGUUAUAUGUAUAUAACCAGUAGGGCCCUAACCUUUCUCGUCACUACUCGACCGAGGUUACGCUUGACACUUACUGGGUACUGCUGUGGUGUACUCAUGCCCUUUCCUGCACAUGUUUUUUGUGUGCAGAUCCAGAUUUUUCUGCUCAGCCGUUCUAUUAGUGAGGCGGGCGAUAUCAGAGACUACAAGGUAUAUCUACCGCAUCCGCAGACCUAGAAGUCCCUCUCUAUUCUUCCCUUUAGCUUUAGACUUCUUAUAUUUACUUUUGAUUAGACAUUCUGGAGUUAGAACAUUAUGUAGUUUUCUAUAGCUUGUGAUUUCAUGAGAUUCCGAGUUUUGGAAGUUUUUAUUCAGUUUUGAGAGUGUGUGUUGUAUAUGCCGAGCGACAUUUUAAACUCUUUUAUUAUGUUUUACCCGCAACUUGCUAGUUUCGUAUUUCAUUUCCUUUUUCCGUGUUUUGUUAGGCUUACCUAGUCGUAGAUACUAGGUGCCGUCACGAUAGUUUAUGGAGGGAGAACUUGGGUCGUGACAAGUUGGUAUCAGAGCUAUAAGUUUAUAGGAGUCAUAAAUCACAAGCCGGUUUAUUAGAUUCUCGCGCAUUAGUAUAGCGAUAUUUGUACUUACCUACGAGAAGCUAUUUAACUGUUAGGAAAAUUUCACUUCAUAUGAUUUCCAUUGCGUGCAAGAUUUUGAUAUCAAAACUCUAAACCUCUGUCUUCUAUUUUCUCACAGAUGGUGAGGACACAUGCUGCCAGAGAGGACCAGGCACCCGUGCCCCUUGCUAGAGCCGCUAGAGGUCGAGGCUGGGGUAGAGGGCAAGGACGCUCACGUGGUACAUCCAGAGCAUUCACGCGAGCUACCACAGAGGGUCCACCAGCAGCUCCAGUCGGAGCCCAGACACUUGAUAUUCCUACUGUUAUUACUAUUCCAGCUCUUCACGAAACCUUUGCAUAGUUCGUGAGCAUGUGCACAACUCUAGCUCAGGCAGGGUUGAUCCCCUUGAUGAAGCCACAUUCCAGGCCGGGGGAGAAGAAAAGACUCCCGCCGCCCGCACCCCAGAGUAGUGGGUCCAAGUUGAUCAGACCCUAGAGGUUAUACCGGUACCGCCUGUAGCUCUAGUUUAGCCCGAGGACAUGGUAGCAACUUCAGAGGAUAAGCAACGAAGGCUUGAGAGGUUUAAGAAGUACAAGCCUCCUAUAUUCAAUGGUUUAGCAUCAGAUGCUGCUCUGGGAUUUCUGGAGGAGUGCUUCCGUAUCCUCCACACUAUGGGUAUAUUAGGAUCGAGUGGGGUUUCUUUCACUACCUUCCAGCUUCGAGGAGCAGCCUAUUAGUGGUGGCGUACUUUUGAGUUGGAUAGUCCAGUUGAGGCAGCUUCCCUUACAUGGACACAGUUUUUAUAUAUGUUUUUUUAGGGAAUAUGUUCCUUAGAGCCUUAGGGAUGCAUGACGUGCAGAGUUUGAGCAUUUGCGCCAGGGUACUAUGACUGUUUCAGAGUAUGCUGUCCGUUUCACUGACUUGGCUAGGCAUGCACCUGCCUUGGUUUCUAAUGUUCGUGAGAGAGUUUGCCGGUUUAUUGAGGGGCUCAUUCCCAGCAUCAGUUCUAGCAUGGCUCGGGAGUUAGAGAUGGAUAUUUCUUAUCAUCAGGUGGUGAGCAUUGCUAGGAGAGUAGAGGGUAUGCAUGCUCGAGAUAGAGAGGAGAGGGAGGCUAAGAGAUACCGAGAGUUGGGCCAUUAUUCUAGCGCCCGUGCCCCAGCUACAGUUCGUCAUGGUAGGGGUUAUAUAAGUCGCCCCAUUCAUUCAGCUCUUCCAACAGCCAGCGGUAUUCCAACUCCUCUUAUACCUUAAGAGCCUUAUUAUGCACCUCCGGUAUCUAGUGCGCCUCAUGCAUGGGGUGCUUUCAGUAGUCAGUCCAGCAGACCUAGACCGAGCCAGUCACAUGAUCCACGUCCUCCCAGAGCUUGUUUUUAGUGUGGCGAUGCACACCAUAUGGUGAGGGAUUGCCCCAGACUUAGGAGCGGUGCACCUCCACAGACUUCUCAGCCACAACGUGCUCCACAUAGUUCCGAGGCUAUGAUCACAACACCAGUUGCUGCCCUACCUGCCCAGCCAGCUGGAGGUGGAGGUCAGGGAGGUAGAGGUCACCCUGGGAGGGAGGCCAUGCUAGAUAUUAUGCCCUUACUGCCCGUACUAUGGCUGUCGCCUCUGAUUCUGUCAUCACAGGUAUUGUCCUGGUUUAUCAUAGAGAUGCAUCAGUUUUAUUCAAUCCAGGCUCCACUUAUGUUUAUGUGUCCUCUUAUUUUGCCCCGCAUUUGGGCAUAUAUCGGGAUUCUUUGAGUUCCCCUAUUUAUGUUUCUACUCCUGUGGGAGAUUCUCUUAUUGUGGACUGCGUUUAUUGGUCAUGUUUCAUUACUCUUAGUGGUUUUGAGACCAGAGUCAAUUUACUAUUGCUCUACAUGGUAGAUUUUGAUGUUAUCUUGGGCAUGGACUGGUUGUCACCCAAUUACGCUAUUCUUGAUUGUCACUCCAAAACUGUGACGCUGGCUAUGCUAGGUCUACCGCGAGUAGAGUGGAGGGAUACUUUAGAUCACACUCCCAGUAGAGUUAUUUCAUUUCUUAAAGCUCAACGAAUGGUUGAGAAGGGGUGUGGCACAUAUCUAGCUUAUGUGAGAGAUAUCAGUAUUAAUACCCCUACAGUUGAUUCAGUCCCAGUAGUACGGGAUUUCCCUGAUGUGUUUCUAGCUGAUCUUCUGGUUAUGCCACCCGACAGAUAUAUUGAUUUCAGCAUUGAUUUGUUGCUGGGCACUCAACCAAGUUCUAUUCCUCCUUAUUGUAUGGCCCCUCCUUAGUUGAAGGAGCAGUUGCAGGAAUUGCUUGACAAAGGUUUUAUUCGGCCCAGUGUAUCACCUUGGGGUGUUCCUAUCUUGUUUGUGAAGAAAAAAGAUGGUUCUAUAUGUAUGUGCAUUGUUUAUCGCCAGUUGAACAAAGUCACAGUGAAGAACCGAUAUCCUUUGCCUCAUAUUGAUGACCUGUUUGAUCAGUUACAGGGUGAUCGAGUGUUUUCUAAGAUUGACUUACGUUCAGGUUUUCAUCAGUUGAAGAUUCGGGAGCCAGAUAUCCCGAAGACUGCUUUCAGGAUUCGGUAUAGUCAUUACGAGUUCCUUGUUAUAUCAUUUGGGUUGUCCAAUGCCCCAGCAAUAUUUAUGCAUUUGAUGCACAGCAUGUUCCGGCCAUAUCUUGACUCGUUCGUCAUUAUUUCUAUUGAUGAUAUUCUGGUAUACUCCCAAAGUCGGGAAGAUCAUGAGCAACACCUAAGGACAAUGCUUCAGACUUUAAGAGAAAAGAAAUUAUAUGUGAAGUUCUCGAAAUGUGAGUUUUAGUUGGAUUCCGUGGCAUUCUUGGGUCACGUGGUAUCGAAUGAAGGGAUCAAGGUGGAUCCGAAGAUAGUGGAAGCAGUGCAGAGUUGGCCCAGACCAUCCUCAACUAUAGAGAUCCGUAGUUUUCUUGGCUUGGCGGGUUAUUACCGUCGAUUUGUUGAGGAAUUUUCAUCUAUUGCAACACCUAUGACUAGGCUAGCCCAGAAGGGCGCUCCAUUCAAGUGGACAAAAGAUUGUGAGGAGAGCUUCCAGAAGCCCAAGACAGCUUUGACUACAGCCCCAGUAUUGAUAUUGCCUAUAGGUUCGGGGUCUUAUGUUGUCUAUUGUGACGCCUCGAGGAUUUGCCUUGGAGCGGUAUUGAUGUCGAACGGUAGGGUGAUUGCCUACAUGUCUAGACAGUUGAAGCUACAUGAGAAGAAUUAUCCUGUCCAUGAUCUCGAGUUAGCUGCUAUUGUUCAUGCCUUGAAGAUCUGACGUCAUUAUUUAUACGGUGUUCCUUGUGAGAUCUAUACUAAUCACUAGAGUUUGUAGCAUCUGUUCAAGCAGAAAGACCUAAAUUUGCACUAGAGGGGGUGGUUAGAGCUAUUAAAGGAUUAUGAUAUCACUAUCUUGUAUCACAUGGGUAAGGCCAAUGUGGUGCCCGAUGCUUUGAGUCACCGGGCGGAGAGUUUAGGGAGUUUGGUUUACCUACCAGCAGCGGAGAGGUCCAUGGCAAUAGAUGUUCAGGUCUUAGCCAGUUUGUGCGAUUGGAUCUUUCGGAGCCCAGUCGGGUUCUAGCUUGUGUGAUUUCUCGAUCUUUCUUGUUGGAUCGUAUUAGAGAGCAUCAGUUUGAUGACCCUCAUUUGCUUGUCCUCAAAGACAAGGUUCUGUAUGGUGAUGCCAGAGAUGUGACCAUUGGCGAUGACGGGGUAUUGAGGAUGUAGGGUCGGAUAUGUGUACCCAAUGUUGAUGGGCUUUGGGAGUUGAUUCUAGAGGAGGCCCAUAGUUUGUGGUAUUCCAUCCAUCCGGGUGCCGCGAAUAUGUACCAGGAUUUGAGACAACAUUAUUAAUAGAGGCGGAUGGAGAAAGAUAUAGUUGGGUUUGUAGCUCGAUGCCUCAAUUAUCAGUAGGUAAAGUAUGAGCACCAGAGACCGGGUAGUUUGCUUCAGCAGAUGGAGAUUCUGGAGUGGAAGUGGGAGUGGAUCACCAUGGACUUUGUAGUUGGACUCCCACGAACUUUAAGGAAGUUCGAUGCCAUUUGGGUGAUUGUGGAUUGGCUGACAAAGUCCGUGCAUUUCAUUCUUGUGUGUACUACCUACUCUUCGGAGCGGUUGGCGGAGAUUUAUAUCCGGGAGAUUGUUUGUAUGUAUGGUAUUCCAGUUUCCAUCAUCUCAGAUAGAGGCACUCAAUUCACAUCACAGUCUAGAGGACCGUACAACAUGAGUUGGGUACUCAGGUGGAGUUGAGCAUAACAUUUCACCCCCAGACAGACGGACAGUCCGAGCGCACUAUUCAAAUUCUUGAGGAUAUGCUUCGUACGGGUGUGACGGAGUUUGGAGGGUCUUGGGAUCAGUUCUUGCCACUGGCGGAGUUUGCCUACAACAACAAUUAUCAGUCCAACAUUCAGAUGGCACCGUAUGAGGCUUUGUAUGGUAGGCGGUGUAGAUCCCCGGUGUGUUGGUUCGAGCCGGGUGAGGCUAGAUUAUUGGGCACAGACUUGGUUCAGGACGCCUUGGAGAAGGUUAAAGUCAUUCAGGAUAGACUCCAUACAGCCGAGUCCAGACAAAAGAGUUAUGCGGACCAGAAGGUUCAUGAUGUUUCCUAUAUGGUUGGAGAGCGGGUCUUGCUUCGGGUUUUGCGUAUGAAUGGCAUUAUGAGAUUUGGGAAGAAAGGGAAAUUGAGUUCGAGGUUUAUUGGUCCUUUUGAGGUAUUGCGACGUGUUGGGGAGGUUUCUUAUGAGCUUUCCUUACCUCCCGGCUUGGCAGGAUUUCAUCCGAUAUUUCAUGUUUCAAUGCUCCGGAAGUAUCACGGUGAUCCGUCACAUGUGUUGGAUUUCAGUUCAGUCCAUUUGGACAAGGAUUUAUCUUAUGUUGAGGAGCUAGUGGCGAUAGUGGUUAGGCAAGUUCAAAAGUUGAGGUCAAAGAACAUUGCAUCAGUGAAGGUUUAGUGGCGGGGUCAACCGGACUAGGAGGCGACUUGGUAGACCGAGCAGAAUAUGCGCAACCGUUACCCUCAUCUUUUUACCACUUCAGGUAUGUCUCUAUGCUCGUUCGAGGAUGAAUGAAUGUUUUAAGAGGGGGAGGAUGUAACGACCCGGCUGGUCAUUUUGAGAAUUAAUGCCUCGAUCCCCUAUUAACUGCUUUCCCCGUAUUAAUUUCUGCUAUUAUUAUUUGCUAGGAAGAUUUUGAAUUUCGAUGUGUUUUGGGACAUUUAGUCCCUAAAUGAGAGCUUAAGCUUUAGAAUUUGGACUGUAGUCAGAGCAGUGUCAAGAUGACUUUGGAAUGAAAUUUUGUCGAUUCCGUUAGCUUCGUUGGGUGAUUUCGGGCUUAGGGGCGUGUUCGGAUUAUUUUUUGGAGGUCCGUAGCUUAUUUAGGCUUGAAAUACCGAAAGUUAAAUUUUUGAAGUUUCCGGAUCGAUAGUGAGAUUUUGAUAUCGGGGUCGGAAUUCGAUUCCGAAAGUUGGUAUAGCUCCGUAGUGUUGAAUGUGACUUGUGUGCAAAAUUUAGGAUCAAUCGGACAUGGUUUGGUUGGUUUCGACAUCGGUUGUAGAAUUCUUGAGAUUUCAAGUUCAUUAGGCUUGGUUUGGAGGGUGAUUCGUGGUUUUGGCGUUGUUUGAUGUGAUUCGUGGGUUGGAUUAAGUUAGUAUGAUUUUUUAGGAUUGGUUGAGGUCCCGGGGGCCUCGGGUGGGUUUCGGAUGCUUAACGGAAGUUGAAUUUGGAAUUAGGCAAAUUCUGAAGUUGCUGAUUCUGGUAUUUUCACACCUGCGGUGAGGAGCCCACAGGUACGACCUGCAGAAGUGAGGAAAUAGGUCGCAUGUGCGUUCUGGAGCACAAAGGCAGUGCCUAGGGAGCUAAUGAAAUUCAGUAGAUACAGAGCCCAAGAUGCAGGUGCGGGACCGGUGGUGUGGCCCCAUGAACCGCAGAUGCGGAAAUCACUGGGCAGAUAUAGAAAAAUUUAGGGUCUGAGUUCAUAACUUGGAAAAAUCAAAUUGGAGCUCGGGGAAAGGCGAUUCUGUGGGGAUUUUGAAGAGAAGACCAUUGGGUAAUGAUUCCUAAUCUCUUUUUGAUUGUAUCUCAUUAAUCUAAGCUUAAAUUCAUCAAUUAAUUUCGGAUUUGGGGUGAAAAAUUGGGAGAAUUGAGGAAAAGUUCUUAGGCCGAAUUUUUAGAUUUUGAUCGAGGUUUUUGUAUCGGAUUUGAGUGGUUUUGGUAUGGUUAGACUCGUGAGUGAAUGGAUGUUCAUAAUCCAUAAUUUUUACCUGAUUCUGAGACGUGGGCCUAGGGAUGAUUUUUGGGCGUUUUUCUAUUUUCUUACCUUAGCUUCGAUUCCUUUAGCUAAAUUCGUUGUUUGUGGUUAUAUUUACAUUAUGAAAUUGAUUUAAUUAUAUUUGGUCCAUUCGAUGUUGUAUACUCAUGGCAAUAGCGUGAUUUCGGAUUGAUUUGAGCUGGUUCGAGGUAAGUGGCUUGCCUAACCUUAUGUGGGGGAACUCCCCCUUGGAUUUGGUAUUGUUGUUAUAUGAAUGCCGUGUACGUACGGUGACGAGUGCGUACACAUGCUAAUUUUUGGAAAACCCCAUUUUCCUUAGGUAAACAUCCGUGUUUCCUUUUUUUUGUUGAACACUACUUGUAUUUUAAAGGCUACUGUUUAACUUAGGAAAGCAUGCUUAAGUGACUUAGCUAUUCUAUGUGCUUAAAUUGUUUACUUGAAUUCUGUGCAGCAUGUUUAGAAUAGGAAUCUCUAUUUUCUUAGUACGAACUGAUAUAAAACUGUAGAUUUUUUCUUAAGACUGUUGUGUGUUUACUUGGGACUACGGGAUUAUAUCUCGGGAGAUCUCCUUUGCAUGUUUACUUUGGGAUUACAGAUCGGUAUUCCGGGAGAUCCCCCUACACAUUUAUAUUUGAGACUACGGGACGAUAUCCCUGGAGAUUCCCCUAACUGGAUAUUUGCUUUGGGACUACGGAUUGGUAUUCCGGGAGAUUCCCCUGCAUAUUUAUGAUUCAUACUAUGCGAAGAUAUCCCGGGAGAUGCUCUGCAAAUUUCGUUUGGGACUAUUGGACGACAUCCUCGGAGAUCCCCUGUUGCUAUUUCCGUGUACUGAGUUAUAUUCUUUAUAUGAUUUUAUUCUUUAUCAACUGUUAGUAUUUUAAUUAUACCGUCACAUUUCAUACUAUUUAUCUUGUUAUAUGUAUAUAAUUAGUAGGGCCCUGACCUUUCUCGUCACUACUCGACCGAGGUUAAGCUUGACACUUACUGGGUACCGCUGUGGUGUACUCAUGCCCUUUCUUGCACAUGUUUUUCGUGUGCAGAUGCAGGUUCUUCUGCUUAGCCAUUCUAUUAGUGAUGCGGGCGAUAUCAGAGACUUUGAGGUAUUACAGCCGCGUCCACAUACCUAAAAGUCCCUCUCUAUUCUCCCCUUUAGCUUUAGACUUCCUGUAUUUACUUUUGAUUAGACAUUCUAGAGUUAGAACACUAUGUAGUUUUCUAUAGCUUGUGAUUUCAUGAGAUUUCGGGUUUUGGGAGUUUUGAUCAGUUCUGAGAGUGUGUGUUGUAUAUGGCGAGCGUCAUUUUAAACUCUUUUAUUAUGUUUUACCCGCAACUUGCUGGUUUCGUAUUUCUUUCUUUUUUCCACGUUUUGUUAGGCUUACCUAUUCGUAGAGACUAGGUGCCGUCACAACAGUUUACGGAUGGAGAACUUGGGUCGUGACACCAAUACGAACUUAAGAGAGUCUAAAUCAUUCAGGUGAAGCAUGUUCAAGUAGCAUAUAUUAGAAUUGGCAGCUGUUAGGUAAAAUUAAAUGCUAAAGAGGUUCAAACCAAUGUAAAGCCGACAAGAUCACACAUAGAAGUAGCCCAGAAUACAUUAGCUUAAAAGAAUCUAUAUUAUUCAAAUUAGGCGUAAGCAUGUUUCAGAACUGACAACAUUAGAUUAAAUUAAAUGCUAAAGAGAUUAAAACGACUAUAAAUCUAACAGAAUUGCACACAAGAGUUUCCCAGAAACACAUCAAGCCUUGGAUUUCAGAAGUAGGAAUGUGCUAACCAUAAACACACAAGAACAAAAUUACAAAGGUCAAAUGACUUACCAAUUAAACGGACAACAAUAAAGAACAAAAUUCCACAAUGCGUCAAAGUUCCCAAGAGCUUCAAAGGAACCCCGAGCAAUGCUCACACCAAGAGAAGGUUGAAUAAUAGAAUAUCAGUGGCCUUGGCUUUCAGCCAGCCAAAGACGAA
rnacentral:lncRNA from 1 species